UUUGUAUAUAUUAAUGCUUACUCAUAUAUUCAUAUAAUAAUUUGUUUACUUAAAUUAUAUAUAUCUACAUAUAAUUGCCCGUAACUAAAGGACUUGGAAGCCAGACUGAAAGACAUCACAAGUAGUAAGUAAAAUAAAGAACAGGACAUUGGCAAGAGGUUUGAGAGCACUGACGAAAUGAUAUUUACAGCUCCAGAGAGAAAGAUAAACGACAGUACAUUGGAAUAAUAAUCAAAAAGGCAAUAGACUUUUUAAUAACACUGGAAGCUAAAAACAAUGUGAAAUACCUUCAAAAUUCUGAGAAAUGAUAAUUCCAAACUAGAAUUGUGUAUUCAAAUUAUCAAUCAAGUGUAAGGUAGAACAUGUACAUUCUCAAAAAAUUGCUCUACCAAUGCACCUUUUCUCAGGAAGCUACUGGAGGAAGUACACCAACAAAAAAAGGAAACAAUAGAAGGAAUACAUGGAUUGUUUUAGAGAAACAGGAAAUUGAAGAGAAAAAGAAGCAAGGCAGUCACUGGAUGUCAGCAGGGCAGCAGGCAAGGAGUUUAAUCCCGUCAAAUAGGUGCAGGGUGAUAGAAGUAUCCAGGAUUAAUGCCUCCAUGGAAAACAAGAAGCAGAUGGAUUGCCGAAUAUAUUUGAUCCUGUUGAAGUGAUUGACUUUUCCUUUAGAGAACCUGAGAAUGCGUAACACCAGGGAAAUCAACAAGUUGUAAAAUAAAGGAAGUGUCACAGUACACUACAUUGCUUAGCUAUGAAUAGUAUUUUCAUUAGCAUAAUUAUGUCAGCACUGAAUAUCGAACUACCUAAAAGUUGCUACUAGUUGAAUUGGAAAAAGUGAGGGAGAAAAAAGUGUGUGUGUGUGUGUGUGUGUGUGGGUGUGUGUGUGUGUGUGUGUGUGUGUGUGUGUGUGUUUGUGCAGAAGCAAGUCUAUCUUUUAAUGUGAGUCCUCCUCCUAUAUUCCUUUCAGUUACCUUAACCCCCUAAACCGUCUGUUCUUCCCUUAAUUUUGUUAAAAUCAUUCGUAAUAUAACUUUCCGAAGAUAAGGAUAGGGUAAAAGGGAAUUAAAAAUAAUAACAUCUUUUAAGAAAUAUUGAAUAACAAAACAAGUUUUAAUACUGGAAUGGAUGCUAAGAAGACAAUUGCAGGGAUUUUUCCUCUAUGGCACUUCAAGACCUUUAUAUAACAAACUUGGGAAUAUUACGCCUCAAGCCCUCAUAACAUUUCAUUCCAUGGCCAAAUAGCAUUAACAGCAUCCAAUGUCCAGUGCUCUGCUCCACAUACGAUGCCGAGAAAGGCCUAACAGUGUGCAAGUCGGUCACCAACUUAAAAGUAAGGAUAUAAACAAGUUCUAUUCUUAGCCCUUGUAACUCUCAGAGCUUUUUACUUUGAUGUUUGUUGUUAGAUGGUUGAUAGUUUAUUUUCUCAUUAUUUUAAUUGUUUGCAUCAUUUUUAAAAGGAUUGUCAGAGAGAGCUUGCCGAAAUACAUGACAUUUCAAUCAUGAAGGAAUCAUACUAUGGUAUCCCAGAUCUGAAUGUAGAAAGUGUAUUAUAAUGCUAUCAUUUGAGGAUUUGGGUCAGCUCUCCUGGGAGCUCUGAAUUUGAUAUUCAUUUCCUUUCUCAGCUGCAUUUUCUUCACUAAAAAACAGUGCAGUGAAGCAUAUAGGACAGAUGUUGUGUAUGAGAAAGAAAAUGAAAAACAAACACAACUGUGCAUUGGGGUGCAUGUGGGAGGAGGUAUAAUAGAAUUCAAUAUGGUUAGGUCUCCAGAACAUCCCAGCCAAGGAUAACAUUCAUCCUUGAGGCCAGUAACCUUAUUGCUAAAACUGCCUGCCUAAAUAUGAUUUUUUGUAAAAAUUUUUUGUUUUAAAAAAAAAACAGGGGCUUGUGGUGACCAAAAAAAAAAAAAAAAAAAAAGGAAGAAGAAGAAGAUGAAGCCAAAAGUCUAGGCUAGAGUUACCACAUGCUAAUUGAUUUGUAUGUCAGGGACUGUGCAAUUAGACUUGAAGCUACUUUCUGGAAAUCUACAAAAAAAAAAAAAAAAAAGAAAAAAAUUACAUUGGUGCUAAUUAUCAUUACCCUUGGUUGGAGACAUAUAUGAUUAAAAAGAAUUUAAGGACAGUGAUAAUAAAUAAUAAAUGAUCCAUAAAUUAGAUCAGCUGAUGAUUAAGAAAAGAAAAAAUUACUCUUUUAAUCUGUGUGUGUGCUUGUUAAAUGGUGCAGGAUGCAGAGAGCACCUGCCUGCCUUUUCCAUGCCCUGGACCUGCUGUGCUUUUGAAACCUAUGGAUAAGUUAAAUGUGUUCCAAGUAGCCCAUGGAGUCCAUUUCAUCUUUAUAAAUAGGGGAAAAAUCCCCACACACUUAAAUAGGCAUGGGAACAAUGUAACUUGGCUAAAGAAGCAAAAACCAAUUGGUGAUUUU